rnacentral:lncRNA from 1 species
GCAGCCAGAGCUCGAUUCGUCCAACCAUCGGGGGAAGCGCCGGGAGGACGUGAAAUAUUCCCCCCGCGCCCUCCACCAGCGACCUCGCGAUCUUGAGGCUCUGCGUUUCCUUGAGGGACCCCCACUCGGAAGGCGACGCCGAGCUCGUCCCCGCGCCGACGUACGACGCCGCCUCGAGAGGGCCGCCACCGCCGCCCCCCGCCGCCUUUGCGAGCGCACCCGCGGGGACGUCCACCGCCGAACGGGAUCCCGUCGUCGCGGCCAACCCCGACCCCGACUGGGACGAACGGACGCUCGCGGCGAUCGCCACGCCCCCCCUCGACCCACCGUUGGCGCUCACCACGACGUCAACCUCGGCCCCCCUGGGCGCGGCGACGAGCGCGGCGUCUAUGACCAGCGCGAGCAGCUCCCUCGCGUCCCUCGGGUCAACCGCCGCGACGGCUCGGAGCGGCGGCGGCGGGAACGUCGCCGUCAUGGUCACGCCGGACGGUGCGGCGAUGAC